UACGUAGGUGGCAAGCGUUGUCCGGAUUUACUGGGCGUAAAGAGCGCGCAGCGGUCGUUCAAGUCGCGUGUGAAAGCCCCCGGCUCAACUGGGGAGGGUCACGCGAUACUGAUCGACUCGAAGGCAGGAGAGGGAAGUGGAAUUCCCGGUGUAGUGGUGAAAUGCGUAGAUAUCGGGAGGAACACCAGUGGCGAAGGCGACUUCCUGGCCUGUUCUUGACGCUGAGGCGCGAAAGCUAGGGGAGCAAACGGG
rnacentral:rRNA from 1 species